CAAAUAUCUGAUCUGCUGUAGUUACUCCUAGUACUGUCAUGUUCGUGGGCUUCAUGCCUCUGCCUAGGCUGGGAGCUCAGGGAUUCACACACCUUGCACACAGGACGGCUACCUGACAAAUGCCUCAGGACCCAUCUGACCUCAAACAGAGCUUGUACAGGCAUUGUCUAUUUGGACCACUUGCCUUAGAAACCCUUGGGCUGCUGGUUAAAAUGCAGAUUCCAGAGCUUUCCCAGACUGGCCAAAUCAGAAUCUCUGGGGGGUGGCGCUCAGGCAUGUGUAUGUUUGCCCGUUUCCCAAGCCCAUACUUGAGGACCAUUGUGUGGAGUAAGAUUAGAGAAGGCAGGUCAUCAGCAAGAUUUGAGCUCCAUCUUAGAGGACAAGCCAAAUUCGGAUGUAUAGUGUCAUUCCUGACAGGGGGAAUGUCAGGGGUUUGAGGAUGUGGUGGUCAGUGGCCACGGGUGGAAUGUCCUGGUGACCUGAGGAAGUGAGUGGAGUGGCUGGGUGGGUCCAGACUUGCUACGGUGGAGAACAGGGAGCUAUUGAGCGUUGACCAAUGGGCAGUGAUGUAAUAGCAGCAGGAAGGAAGAUGUCACAAGGGCAAUGUUUACUCUUUUCUCUUCUGCAUUUCCCUGAGCUGCUCCCUCUUCACACUUCCCUUCUCAACUGCAAAGUAAUGGGCAAGCCUCUCAGGGAACAUGGAAGGCACCCCUGUGGGGCAAAAUCCUCUAGCAAAGGGGAGGGCCCCAGACAGCCAGCAUCCAGUGGAUCCUGGUCCUGGGACCAGGAUAAGAUGAAGGGGAGAGGACUCUGGGGUGGCCAUGGCUGCUGCUGCUGCUGCUGCCGCUGCUGCUGCUGCUGCUGCCGCUGCUGCCCUGAGCCUCAGCAGGGUACAGGAAGGCAGUGUGGAAAAGAGGGUUCUGGAAUCAGACAGAGCUGCGUUCAAAUCCUCUCUGCCACUUUCUACAUUUGUGACCUCAGGAAGUCUUCCAACCUCUCUGAGCCUCAGGGUCCUCAUUUGUAAGUGGUACCUACUCAAUAUUUAUUUGUAAAUGUCCUAAGGUGGUUGUCCUAAGAGUUAAACAGCAGACUGAUGUAAAAUUCUAAUGCUCAGUAUUUAGGGGACAGUCAGUGCUUAAUAAAAGUUACGAUGGAUGAUGAUGGUGGUGGUAGCGGUGGAAACAGGUGCAGGGUGAUCAAGGGUAUUGAGGGUUGAAAGGGGAAAGAGAUGAGUGCAGGUGGAACUGUUCAGGUAACUUCUCUCUGGGACUAGAGGGGGUGGAUGUGGGUGGAGAUGCAUGGGGGAAAGCACUCAGCCUGGGGACGGCCGGGGCUAGGGUGAGGUGCUGGGUGCUGGAAAGCGAGGGUUGUGUCUGGGGAAGUGCAGGUAGAACAGAAUAUGGGUUGUAAAACUGGCCAAGUUCUCUUUCACUUUUUUAUUAUUAAAAUUUUCCCAUCUACAAAAUAUGGAAAGAAUAGUCACCGUAAACUUAUUAUCUAGAUCAAAACAUCCAACCAUAAUUGAUAUUUUGCAUUAUUUGCUCCAUAUGUGUGUACAUUGCUGAGAUACAUUUUUAUAAAUAUAUUAAUUAUAUUUAUUAAUUGCAAAUAUAAAAUUUUAU
ensembl:lncRNA